rnacentral:rRNA from 1 species
CCUACGGGAGGCAGCAGUAGGGAAUAUUGCUCAAUGGGGGAAACCCUGAAGCAGCAACGCCGCGUGGAGGAUGAAGGUUUUCGGAUUGUAAACUCCUUUUGUUAGAGAAGAUAAUGACGGUAUCUAACGAAUAAGCACCGGCUAACUCCGUGCCAGCAGCCGCGGGAAUACGGAGGGUGCAAGCGUUACUCAGAAUCCCUGGGCGGAAAGGGCGCGUAGGCGGGAUAGCAAGUCAGAUGUGAAAUCCUAUGGCUUAACCAUAGAACUGCAUUUGAAACUGGUAUUCUAGAGUAUGGGAGAGGUAGGUGGAAUUCUUGGUGUAGGGGUAAAAUCCGUAGAGAUCAAGAGGAAUACUCAUUGCGAAGGCGACCUGCUAGAACAUAACUGACGCUGAUGCGCGAAAGCGUGGGGAGCAAACAGGAUUAGAUACCCGGGUAGUC